AAGGUGUAAAAGAGAUGUUGAAAUAUUGUCUACAAUGAAGAGAAAUUACCUGGACACCUUUCAGCAGAAAUUGCUGUGUGCAAGCUGAUGUCUUUUUCCUUUUACAAAGGAUUUUAACAACCUUGUUGCAUAGGACUUAAAGAAAUCAAAUAGGUUAGAAGAGAUUGAAGUUAUCCGAGAAUCUUCUGACAAAUGAUCUCUGUAUGUGGAAAGGUGUGGCACGAUACCGCAGUUCUUCAAAGCAUUAUGUGAACAGUACAGAUACAGAUGUCCUGAGUGCUUCACCUCAUUCACCCAACUGCACUUGAAGAUGUCCUUGGAAUGAGGAACACUUCAAAGAUUCAAGUCCAAGUUUCAAGUUCAAUGUGGUUGUUGAAGAGCACCAGUGUUUAAGCACUUUACUCCAGGCCUCUCUUCGGUUCUGAAAGCAUCAGAUAACAGCUGCAAGCUUUAAAAAGCAGCUGGAUAUAAGUGGUGUACCCUAUAAUCUGUUCAAAGCCUUUUGUACUGUAACACUUCUGUCUUUGAAACCAAUAAUCUCUUUUUUUUUGUUUCAAACUUUUUGAUGGAUUAUGUUUCUUGGAAUUGCCCAGACUCUCUAAACUGAGGUUUGUUUUGAGGAACUGUAGGGGCUGGGUUUUAAUUUGUCCCAGUUUUCUCCUCUUGCUGUAUUAUGCAAGCUUCUCAUUUUGUGUUUAUACCAUUAAGAUAUUGCUUAGGAAUACUAUUACUUGAAUAGUUCUGGAGAUCAAAUUGCCCAUGGAAAUACCACAUGCGAUAAUGCUGUUAUACUCUGAUUAUAUUAUAUGCUAUUGUGUAUUGUAAUUAGACAUAUUUUAAAAUAGUAUCCCCUAAGGCCAAUGAAAUCAUGUAAUUCAGAACUACUAGGUUAUCCUAAGCAGUCUGAAGGUUCUGGAUGAGUAGACCAGCUCCUGGAAGUCAGUUUCGUGGGAGACCUAUUGGACAACCCUGUGGAGAAAGCUGCUGGCAGCUACUACUGUCUGGGAAAUUGGUUAUAUAAUGUGUGAUGGAGUUUAAAGGGCCCAAGGGGAGCAUUUUGUUAACGAUAGGGAAUAAAACUGCCCAUAGGAAUACUGAGGAGCUGGAGGUAGGAAGCGGUUCCAGUGUUGAGAAUGUUUUGUCUUAGUUCUGACUGUAAGUCUUCUCUCAGGAAGAGAGGUGGAGUGGUUGGAUAUGUUUGUAGCUGCAUGCUGUUAUCUAAAACUACUUGUAUUUUUUAUGUAGACAAUACUUUGAAGCAAUUUCUAUGAAGUUAUGUGUUAAGCAUUGUUAUUAAUUGUAAGCAGUUGUUUGUAAUGCUUUGAACUAAGUAAAAUCACCUUCAGGUGAUUUUUCUUUUUUUUUCCCCCUCUAGUAUUAUCCUCACUAGUAUUGCUUCUGCACAUCCUUAACGGUACUAUGCUGAUACAACCUAUCUGAAUAAAGUGAAAUAAUGCUUCCUUUGCAGUGUUCAGAGUGCAGGCCUUAAUCAUCCUUAAUUUUUAAGUCUAAUCCUCAAGUUAGAACAAGUGUUUUUUUUAUCUUCUUGAGCAACAGAUAAGCUUCUUGUAGAACCACUAUUGCUGAAUGAGAAAUACCACCCUGGAUGUUUUGCAGCCCUCUCAGGGUGACUGAGGAAACUGUUAAAGACAUGGAAGUGGAUUGCUACUUGUGGCAUACUAGCAUGUAACACCGAUCUGUAACAGUAACUCCAUCACUAAAAAUCUUGGCAGGAAUGGUUGUGGUAACUGAAGCGUAAUGUAAAUGUAUCAAAAUGAUAGGAAUUAAUUUUGAAUUACACUUUCAUUUAGUUUUGUUCUAAUAACUUAAUUUUACUAGUAAAGAGUUUAAAACUAAGAACUUCAAGGCACGUUUU
rnacentral:lncRNA from 7 species